rnacentral:rRNA from 1 species
CAACUCUCAACAACGGAUAUAUUGGCUCCCGUAACGAGGAAGAACGCAGAGAAAUGUGAUAUGUAGUGUGAAUUGCAGAAUUCCGUGAACCAUAGAAUAUUUGAACGCAUAUUGCGCGCGAGGGUUCGGCCGAGGGCAUAUGUGCGUCAGCGUCG